rnacentral:other from 1 species
UUUUCCCUGGGGUGUCCGUCAGUGGGUGGCGUCCCUGAGCCGAUAUCGACAGCAAAGGAAAGUCGCGUUAUUUGCUAUUGAGCAAGCUCGGCCCGACCGAGACGCCUGCGGCAGAUACCGGGUUUCCGCCUUGAACCAUAGGGUUCAAGGACUAACACCUGCAACGGCACUCCGGGGACCCU